CCUACGGGUGGCAGCAGUGAGGAAUAUUGGUCAAUGGGCGCGAGCCUGAACCAGCCAAGUAGCGUGAAGGAUGACUGCCCUACGGGUUGUAAACUUCUUUUAUAAAGGAAUAAAGUGAGGCACGUGUGCCUUUUUGUAUGUACUUUAUGAAUAAGGAUCGGCUAACUCCGUGCCAGCAGCCGCGGUAAUACGGAGGGUGCGAGCGUUAAUCGGAUUUAUUGGGCUUAAAGGGCGCGUAGGCGGGAUGUUAAGUCAGGGGUGAAAUCCCGGGGCUCAACGUUGGAACUGCCUUUGAAACUGGCAAACUGGAGUGUGUGAGAGGAUAGUGGAAUUCGAGGUGUAGGAGUGAAAUGCGUAGAUAUCUGGAGGAACACCGAUGGCGAAGGCGGCUAUCUGGAACAUAACUGACGCUGAGGAGCGAAAGCGUGGGUAGCAAACAGGAUUAGAUACCCGUGUAGUC
rnacentral:rRNA from 1 species